rnacentral:rRNA from 1 species
UACGAAGGGGGCUAGCGUUGUUCGGAAUCACUGGGCGUAAAGGGCGCGUAGGCGGCCGAUUAAGUCGGUGGUGAAAGCCUGUGGCUCAACCACAGAAUUGCCUUCGAUACUGAUUGGCUUGAGACCGGAAGAGGUAAGUGGAACUGCGAGUGUAGAGGUGAAAUUCGUAGAUAUUCGCAAGAACACCAGUGGCGAAGGCGGCUUACUGGUCCGGUUCUGACGCUGAGGCGCGAAAGCGUGGGGAGCAAACAGG